ACAUCAAGGAUAGUGUGUAUCGGUGUUGUGUUGUGUUCAAUGCACUCUUCCAAAAGAGUUCCCUGAAACAUGGUUUUGAGAAAGUGGGCAGUUGUGUUUCAUCUUUUAUUGAGAAUCACAACAAUCAUUUUCCCUACAUCU
rnacentral:snoRNA from 1 species